rnacentral:rRNA from 1 species
GACGAACCACACGAACGUUAUUCGGAAUUACUGGGCUUAAAGGGUGCGUAGGCGGCGCAGAAAGUUGGGUGUGAAAUCCCUCGGCUCAACCGAGGAACUGCGCCCAAAACUACUGUGCUUGAGGAAGAUAGAGGUAAGCGGAACUUACGGUGGAGCGGUGAAAUGCGUUGAUAUCGUAAGGAACACCUGUGGCGAAAGCGGCUACUGGGUCUUUCUGACGCUGAUGCACGAAGCCAGGGAGACA